CUGACCUGGUAAAAACUAAAAACACAUCAAUCGGAGAAACAGUUGGAACUUCAGAAUUUGAAUGCUGGGGAACGCAUAAAUAUGGUAAAAAUAUAUUACUAGUUUGCAUUUCAUCCUAGACCUGUUUACUCUCCAAGGAAGGAACAUAUUUUUGCAUCAUGAAAUCUUGAAGGAUUUCUUUUUCACGUGCAUAGAACUUGCGAGUUCUUUGAUAGAACAUAGAGAAGGAAAGAGAACAUAGGGAAGGAUUUCUUCUCUUCUUCUUUUUUUUAAAAAAUUUUAUUUUUAUCCUGAAUUAAAAAAAAGUCUUGUUUUUUGUAAAUUAAGGCCCUGUGUGGAGCUUGGAAAGAGCAUUCUUCCAUUUCUUUUCUUCUUUCCAGAUCCAAUAUCCUGCAAAGUGUUGGUGCUGCGAAGGAGGAGAUACUUUGGAUUUCUUCUCCUUUUGGUCCAAAGAGAAAAGGGCCAGAGAGGCAGAGGAAAGCUGGGGAAUGCAAAAGAUGAUGAAACUGAAAAGGAUUUUUCAGCACGGAUGAAACAGGCAAGAAAUGACAGCAACAGGGAAUUCAAGCAAGAAGAUUAUUGUAAGCACGUAUAACUGAUUUUUCACUUUGAUAAGUAGGCUAAGGCUUUGUGCAUGGGGGGUUGCACAGCAUAUAAAAAGGCAGAAGCACCGAACACAACACUACAAUAGCAUGAUCCAAAGUCCAAACUGGGAGUCCAGCUUUGGUUUCUUGCUUCAUUAGUAUGGCUAAUCAAUGUUUCCAACUGGUUUGAAGCACUAACCUACAAAACUCUCUUUGGAAUGGAUGGCUAUUCUAUUA